UACAGGAUUAACAGAACUUUACGCUCUGGUCACUAUUCCAGAUGGCACAAACCUGGAUGACCCCGUCUACUCGAUCAUACCUGAUUUACCACAGAGUAAAAACGAACUGAUUCAUCGCAGCUGAAUGACAACACAUACUUCUUGUUGGAAAAAAUCCAAAGCACCAG